UCAAUAAAUCGGCACUUACUGAAUUGAAC
rnacentral:piRNA from 1 species